GAUCCGACCAAUCUCUCCCCCCCUCCCCUCUCUCUUUGGGCAGUCGGGAGAGAACCGGGAGCAGCGAAAGCGUGCUGCACAAGCCACCUCUCCCUCCCCAAAACCUUCGAUCCUCGCCCCUCCGCUUUCCUCUUUCGAUCCUCUCUUCUUUUCUCCCCUCCGAGGUCGAUCUAGAUCUAGUGGAAUUUUGCUCCAGAUAUCCCCGAAUCCAUUUUCUUCGCGUAGAAAGAGAUCUUUCUCCUAGCUGAGAUCAAGCUGGGUUCUUCCGCAAUCCAUUCUCCGAUCGUUUGAAUCCACUCCAAUCCCGAUCCCAGAUCGAGUUCACUGCGUUUAUUCGCUCGAUUCGGUAUUUGCUUGCAAUUAUUGCCUCGAUCGCUCUCGAAUCGGUUGUAAAGAUCUGAAUUUUACCUGCAUUGCUUGUGAUUUCUAUCUAUAAUCUAAUUGAUCCGGGUUUUUAUUAGUAGGAGUGUUUACUGGGAUUUGUUGAUUAUUUUGCUGUUUUUUGAGGUUUUUUGAGUGGAUUUAUUCUUGGGUUGGAUCUGGAGGUAUGAAAUUGUGAAUUAGAGGGGAUCAGGGUUGCCGGUCAUGGCGGUUCCAUCAGGGAAUGCGGUGGUCCUGGAGCAGAUGCAGUUUUCGGGUGGUGGUAGUGGAGGACGAGUCGGUGGUGGCGGUGAGGUGCAGCGGCAGUGGUUUCUUGAUGAGAGGGAUGGGUUCAUUUCAUGGCUGAGAGGAGAGUUUGCAGCGGCGAAUGCCAUUAUUGACAUUUUGAUUCAACACCUCCGGGCCACCGGCGAGCCUGGGGAGUAUGAUCAUGUUGCCGGGUGCAUUCACCAGCGGCGCAGCCUAUGGCAGCCCGUCCUCCACUUCCAGCAAUACUUCCCGGUGGCUGAGGUCAUGUUUGCCUUGCAGCAGGUGACUUGGAGGAGGCAGCAGAAGAGGCACUUCGAUGGGCCGAAGGAGAAGGACGGGAGGAAGCUGGGGUUUGGGUACCGGCAGGUGCAUCGUUUUGAGGGUGUUCGGGAGAAUCAUAGAUGCCCUACUUCAGUUUCAGUUGGGAUGGAUGUGGCCAAGGUGGAAAAGGUGGAAGAUAAGUUGAAGAAAGGAGAAGAUUCAAUGCCAAAGGGUGAAGUCCAGGUGUCAGAAAUGAAAGACUCAUCAGAUGCGGUGGAGAAGCAGGGGGUCGGUGAUGUUUCAACAUCGAAGAACAAUUGCAGCCUGAAGGAGGGGGAAAAUCUGGUUGGAACUGAGUCCAGUAAUUUGGAGCCUGCUCUUACAGAUGCUAGCACUAACUUCACCGGGACUAGCAAUGAUUCUAUUCCUUGCCAUGAUGGAGAUAUUACCUCAAACCAAGUUGGAAAACAGAAAUUAAUUCCAAUCCCCAAAGAUUUUGUGGCCAAUGAAAUAAGUGAUGGAAAGACGGUCAAUGUUGUCGAAGGACUUAAGCUCUAUGAGGAGAUAUUGGAUAGCUCAGAAAUCACCAGACUUAAGACAUUGACAAAUGAAUUGAGAGCUGCUGGUCGUAGAGGAGAAUUUCAAGGGCAGACAAUUGUGCUGUCAAAAAGACCAAUGAGGGGGCAUGGACGGGAAAUGAUUCAGUUAGGCAUUCCUAUUACCGAUGGAUCUCCAGAAGAUGAAAAUACAGCUGGGACCUGUAAAGAGCGGAAGGUGGAAGGGAUUCCUAAUUUAGUGCAGGAUGUGUUCGAUCACUUGGUUCAGCUCCAGAUUAUUCCUGUCAAGCCUGACUUUUGCACUAUUGACUUCUUUAAUGAGGGGGAUCAUUCACAUCCUCAUACCUGGCCACCCUGGUAUGGCAGGCCUGUUUGUAGCUUAUUUUUGACAGAAUGUGACAUUGUCUUUGGCCGAGCUAUUGGGGGAGAUCACCGUGGGGGGGAUUACAGAGGUCCUCUCAAGCUAUCUCUUGCAAUGGGGGCUCUUCUUGUGAUGCAAGGAAAAAGUGCUGAUCUAGCCAAGCAUGCCAUCCCCUCCUUACGCAAGCAGUGCAUCUUUCUAACUUUUGGGAAGUCCCAACCAAAAAAAUCUUUUCCAUCUGAAGACUUGCGCCUUUUUUCAUCCACUGUACCUCCACCAUCACCUCGAGGAUCAACUCCAGUUAGACCGCAGAAUGUUGCCCGUCAUUCAUCUGGCCCUAAGCAUUAUGGAGUUGUUCCUACCACUGGUGUCCUGCCAGCACCACCCAUCCAUUCCCAGCACCUGCCCCCACCUAAUGGGAUCCCGCCAAUCUUCAUUGCACCUUCCACCGUCACCCCUGCGGCUGUGCCUUAUCCUGCACCUGUUCCAGUGACACCCUCAUCAGCUGCAUGGACAGUGGCUGCACCUGCAAGGCACCCAGCACCUCGACUGCCGGUUCCUGGCACUGGAGUGUUCCUGCCCCCACCUGGUUCUGGCCACUCUCCGACAUUGCAGCAGCCACCUGUGGCUCCAGGAUCCACUGGAACUAGCUCUCCUCCAGAGACAACUGCCUUGCCUGAGAAUGAGAGCAAUGGGUUGGAAAAACCAAAUUGUAUCGACAAUGCUUCUCCAAAGACUUCGCCAAAGAAUAGAGCAGAUGAGACAGGACCUAAACUGGACUGUAAUGGGAACUCCAAUAGUGGUAAUGAUGUUGGUGGGAGGACAGCGGUAGGUAAGGAGGACCAGCAGAAUGUUGCUGCUAAGAGGAAGGUGGUGAACAGGCCAGCAGGUAAUGCUACUAUGUAGAUCAAAGAGGGCAUAGAGACAGGAGAUGGAGAUCUGUUCUGUUGAAGUAAUAGCAGGAAAGAAUAGUCAAGGAACCUCUUGGAGUUUUGGGGCAAAUGUAAAGUGCAACAGAGGGGUUGCUAGACCACUUUAAGAGGUGACCAAAAACAUUCUCUCCAGACAGUAUUGCAUCCUUAAUCGUUCUGGAAGGCAGAGUAGCAAAUUUUUGGCCUCCAGAGCUCAUACAAUCAAAUUUGUGUUCAAUGUUUUGUCUCGGCGAGCUGAGCGCUGGCUCCCACGCGCAUCUUAAAUGUGCCGAGUUCAUGGAUCCGGGGAGUUUGUGUUGCUGUCAUUUCUUUUUAAUUGGAAACUGGGCUGCCGUUGCAUCCAAUCACCAUGAAUGAACCCUCUGGAUAUUGACGCAUUGCAGUUAAAAUCCAUGAAGGUAAUAUGGAGUCAGAAUGUUUA